rnacentral:tRNA from 1 species
GGAGAGAUAGCAUAAAUUUAAUGCGUUUCCCUUACACGGAAAAAAUAGCAAAAAGUUUCUCUCUA